AAUACUUUAUAUCGUUUCUGCCUCACCCCAAACCUUCUUUGAUAAGAGGCUGGGAGUUUUAAAAGGAAAAAUGAUUAGCAUUACCGUAACAGCAAGUUGGUUCUCCUGUUGGUCAGCCAGUGUUACGUUUUGAUCCAAUAUUUCCAGCUCAUAUCUAAAUGAAACUUCGCUUCCAGAACUGCAACUGAACAUCUUUAACUGUUUUCAACCGAGUUUUAUAAACGAUGGCUUAAAGCAAAUAUUUGCAAGAAAUAAUCCUCUUCUAAGCAAAUGACCGAGUGAUGGGAAAUGACACGGUUUCAGAGAAGGAAUGAAAGACAGUCGUUGGCCUCAACCAGAACCAGAACCAUUUAGCUGCGCUUCACCUUUGGUCAUCCCGGAGCCGGUGGGUGUUGCUGGGCACGAGGCCAGCGCCCAUCCACACUUACUGUGCUGGAGAGGAGCUACUACAGGUGUUCCUGAUUUGAUAUGAAUGAUCCAAUAAAGUCAGAGAAUCCAGGCUACAGAGAGGAUUCGAGUGUAGAAGUGAAGUCAGAAGGUGAGAGGCAUUGGGAUACGGGGUCCCCGUGGAGCAGCUGAACUUUGAUUUGAGCGGGGCAGCUUCUCCCGUUGUCAACGGAAGGGAAGACA